rnacentral:rRNA from 2 species
CUACCACCGGGAUGUUCAUAACCCUUUGUUGUCCGACUCUGUUGCCUCCGGGGCGACCCUGCCUUCGGGCGGGGGCUCCGGGUGGACACUUCAAACUCUUGCGUAACUUUGCAGUCUGAGUAAACUUAAUUAAUAAAUUAAAACUUUUAACAACGGAUCUCUUGGUUCUGGCAUCGAUGAAGAACGCAGCGAAAUGCGAUAAGUAAUGUGAAUUGCAGAAUUCAGUGAAUCAUCGAAUCUUUGAACGCACAUUGCGCCCCCUGGUAUUCCGGGGGGCAUGCCUGUUCGAGCGUCAUUUCACCACUCAAGCCUCGCUUGGUAUUGGGCAACGCGGUCCGCCGCGUGCCUCAAAUCGACCGGCUGGGUCUUCUGUCCCCUAAGCGUUGUGGAAACUAUUCGCUAAAGGGUGCUCGGGAGGCUACGCCGUAAAACAAACCCAUUUCUAAGGUUGACCUCGGAUCAGGUAGGGAUACCCGCUGAACUUAAGCAUAUCAAUAAGCGGAGGAA